AUUGAACGCUGGCGGCAGGCCUAACACAUGCAAGUCGAGCGGAUGAAGGGAGCUUGCUCCUGGAUUCAGCGGCGGACGGGUGAGUAAUGCCUAGGAAUCUGCCUGGUAGUGGGGGAUAACGUCCGGAAACGGGCGCUAAUACCGCAUACGUCCUGAGGGAGAAAGUGGGGGAUCUUCGGACCUCACGCUAUCAGGUGAGCCUAGGUCGGAUUAGCUAGUUGGUGGGGUAAAGGCCUACCAAGGCGACGAUCCGUAACUGGUCUGAGAGGAUGAUCAGUCACACUGGAACUGAGACACGGUCCAGACUCCUACGGGAGGCAGCAGUGGGGAAUAUUGGACAAUGGGCGAAAGCCUGAUCCAGCCAUGCCGCGUGUGUGAAGAAGGUCUUCGGAUUGUAAAGCACUUUAAGUUGGGAGGAAGGGCAGUAAGUUAAUUCCUUGCUGUUUUGACGUUACCAACAGAAUAAGCACCGGCUAACUUCGUG
rnacentral:rRNA from 1 species